rnacentral:lncRNA from 1 species
CAAGGCAGAUAUUCUUAUCUGUGGAUGAGUAAAAGAUCAAGGGACAACGCUGUAGCAGGAGUUUGGCAUUACACUCCUCAGUACAUCUCUUUUACGGAGAUGGGAAGAGUGUAUUCAGAGGAGUUGGGUUCCACCUACUCUUUUCUCCGCAUUUAAUCUGUGCAGCAACAUACAGAAUAUUCUACUGUUGAUAGCUGUGGUAUACAUAAUUCUUACUGGCAAAGCAAUGAUUUAAGAGUGAGAAAGGAAUGCAAAAAUCUGUAAAAAGAGAAUGCAAAAUAUACUGACAAAACCUUGGUUCCAUCUCACACAAUUACACAAAACACAGCUUUCCAAGGGGAUUAAUAUGGGUUUAUCAGCCAGUCCCAGAGUAAGACAUUAGAAAAGUUUAUAGCAAAAGGAAAACAAAUAUUAAGAAGUCCUGGAAUAAGCCAUCUCUUGUUUCACUCUGAUGCUUACACUUGCAGAAUGUUGAUUUACCGCUGCAGCACCAGGUCUGAUCCUUCUUUGGAUUAGCACUGAAAAAAUGUAUUAGUUAGACAGUUGUAGUAAAUGAGCCUCAAGCUUUUUCUUUUUUAUUCAUGGCUGGUUAGGUGUGCGGGUCACGUUCUAGCCUCAUUAGUGAAUAGUGGCAACUUAAGUCUAGUUAUUAAUUCUCCAGAUUGCAAGCUGAUGCAACUGAAGCCCAACAGUACUGACAUAAUGUUGGCUGAGUGUAGCAGGACUUAUUCUUUUGUUUCUUCAUGAAAAAAUGUCUUGUUGAAAAAAAAACCAAAAACUACUUGAAGCUAGACAGGUUCACAUGAGCUAACCUUACACCUGGAGUAUAAGGAACUGGAAAAGUUCAGUGCUUGACAAUUUCCAUUUUUAUUUUUUUAAUUUUGAGUAAUUAUUCGAGAAUUCUGGAAAGCCACAGGUCUAAUUUUUCCCUGGAGAAUCUAAAAACAAAUUUAAUAAACUGAAACACAUAAAACAUACUUCCUGUUCUCCCCAGGAAGUGAAUUUCUGCUUGAGUUCUAUGGGUUUUGCUAUCUUUAAUUACCAACACCUUUUAUUUGCAAGAUGUAAUCUCCAUCUAGUUUACUUGUAAAUGCUUCAAUAGUCGUAGCCUUCUACAAGCAUAAAUAUUGUAUUCAUCGUGUAUCAUUUCCAGGUAAAAACUUUCAGGGGACAACUAUAAAUGUUCAUUAUUUAUUAAUGUAUGACAAAAGUUGUAUUAAAA